UACGUAGGGGGCAAGCGUUGUCCGGAAUCAUUGGGCGUAAAGAGCGUGUAGGCGGUCCGGUAAGUCGGCUGUGAAAGUCCAGGGCUCAACCCUGGGAUGCCGGUCGAUACUGCCGGACUAGAGUUCGGAAGAGGCGAGUGGAAUUCCCGGUGUAGCGGUGAAAUGCGCAGAUAUCGGGAGGAACACCUAUGGCGAAGGCAGCUCGCUGGGACGUUACUGACGCUGAUGCGCGAAAGCCAGGGGAGCGAACGGG
rnacentral:rRNA from 1 species